AUACGGAGGGGGCAAGCGUUGUUCGGAAUUACUGGGCGUAAAGGGCGCGCAGGCUGUUUUGUUAGUCAGGCGUGAAAUCCCCGGGCUCAACCCGGGAACUGCGUUUGAUACUGCGGAACUAGAGAUCGGGAGAGGGUAGUGGAAUUCCCAGUGUAGAGGUGAAAUUCGUAGAUAUUGGGAAGAACACCAGUGGCGAAGGCGGCUACCUGGACCGAUACUGACGCUGAGGCGCGAAAGCGUGGGUAGCGAACGGGAUUAGAAACCCGGGUAGUCC
rnacentral:rRNA from 1 species